rnacentral:rRNA from 1 species
UACGAAGGGGGCUAGCGUUGCUCGGAAUUACUGGGCGUAAAGCGCACGUAGGCGGCUCUUUAAGUCGGGGGUGAAAUCCUGGAGCUCAACUCCAGAACUGCCUUCGAUACUGUAGAGCUUGAGUUCGGGAGAGGUGAGUGGAACUGCGAGUGUAGAGGUGAAAUUCGUAGAUAUUCGGAAGAACACCAGUGGCGAAGGCGACUUACUGGACGAUUGUUGACGCUGAGGUGCGAAAGCGUGGGGAGCAAACAGG